UUGACAACUCUAGAGAUAGAGCCUUCCCCUUCGGGGGACAAAGUGACAGGUGGUGCAUGGUUGUCGUCAGCUCGUGUCGUGAGAUGUUGGGUUAAGUCCCGCAACGAGCGCAACCCUUAAGCUUAGUUGCCAUCAUUAAGUUGGGCACUCUAAGUUGACUGCCGGUGACAAACCGGAGGAAGGUGGGGAUGACGUCAAAUCAUCAUGCCCCUUAUGAUUUGGGCUACACACGUGCUACAAUGGACAAUACAAAGGGCAGCGAAACCGCGAGGUCAAGCAAAUCCCAUAAA
rnacentral:rRNA from 1 species